rnacentral:rRNA from 1 species
UACGUAGGGGGCAAGCGUUGUCCGGAAUCAUUGGGCGUAAAGCGCGCGUAGGCGGCCCGGUAAGUCCGCUCUGAAAGUCCAGGGCUUAACCCUGGAAAGCGGGUGGAUACUGCCGGGCUUGAAUCCGGAAGAGGCGAGUGGAAUUCCUGGUGUAGCGGUGGAAUGCGCAGAGAUCGGGAAGAACAUCGGUGGCGAAGGCGGCCUGCUGGGCCGUUGCUGACGCUGAGGCGCGACAGCGUGGGGAGCAAACAGG